rnacentral:rRNA from 1 species
GGGACAACGGAUUGCCUCAGUAGCGGCGAGUGAAGCGGCAAGAGCUCAGAUUUGAAAUCGUGCUUUGCGGCACGAGUUGUAGAUUGCAGGUUGGAGUCUGUGUGGAAGGCGGUGUCCAAGUCCCUUGGAACAGGGCGCCCAGGAGGGUGAGAGCCCCGUGGGAUGCCGGCGGAAGCAGUGAGGCCCUUCUGACGAGUCGAGUUGUUUGGGAAU